UUUUAUGGUGGCUGUGCGUGGGAGACCUUCGGGUCUGCCGGGUGCCAACUUCCCGGUCGGCAAACCCGCGCACAGCUACCACCCUA
rnacentral:antisense_RNA from 1 species